rnacentral:tRNA from 1 species
GCGGGUGUGUUGGAAUUGGCAGACGAGCUGGCUUCAGGUGCCAGUGUCCGCAAGGACGUGUGGGUUCAAAUCCCACCACCCGCACCA